AGGACUAUCUGAAAGGCUUUGACAGGAGUGCCUCUUUAGUGAUUGAGGCAUCUUUUGCUCUGUCUGACCAAUUUUUUAGCACAAGAUUUUCUUCUCAGUUAAGACAAAAAAAAAAAAAAAAAAAAAGAUGUCUACCCAAAGACUGUCUGUGCUUUCUCCCCUUCUGCUCUUCUGCUUCUUCAGAGAGACUUUCUCCAUUUGUGACGGGACAACGUGGACAAAGGUCGGAUGGGAGAUUUUUCCAGAGGAAGUGCACUACCUGAAAGUUAAGGCCCCCCCAUCCAGCUGCCUACCUUAUCCUCUGGACACACUCUGCUGCAAUUUUGCUAACAUGGACCUCUUACAGAGCGCCUUACACCUCACUUACAUCUUAGUACAAGCUCUCUGCUUAAUCCUGUUUGCUUUAUCUGUGCAUUACCUAUGGAUGAAAUGGACAAGACACCAAAAAAAGCUGAAAAAGCAAGCUUCCUUAGAGAAACACGCUAAUGGCCUAGACCUGAGCCCAUCCAUCCAUGACAUUGAACAAAUCCUCUGCAGACUACUGGCCACAACAUCAAUGAUGACCAAGUUCCUGAAGCACGUGUCUCACCACUCUUCUGUCAAGAAAGCUAAGCAACAACGUAAAUUAAGGAAGAAGAAGAGUAAGGGAGAAGAGGAGCAGAAGAUCACUGCUAUCCCUAAGCUCGUGCAAAUGUAGCUUGGUCAAGUGCGGAGAGGACAAAAGCUCGUGCAAAUGUAGCUUGGUCAAGUGCGGAGUAUAAAAGAAAUCUAUUGCAGGGACUGUCUGAGGACACAAAGGUUUCUUUGGGGGCUUGCUUUUUUUUUUUUUGCCACAAUCAUUACAGAAAAAUUCUCAGACGAGCUCUGGGUUUCCGCUCAACUGAAAACGAAUCCACUCUUUCUAACGUGGCUCCCAGAAUAAACUGAGAACACCUUAACUGGAACUUCAGGGUGUAAUCUAGUGGAAAGGAAACUCUCAGAGAUGCUAAGAAACUUGGCUCAAGGAACCAGUAAUGAUGGAUGCAAGAUACCAACCAACAUGGGCAGCCUGACUCCUGAGCCCCUCCACAUCUGCUAAGUAUGACAGCAAGCUGCACUUUGGAACAAUCAGUCUAUGAUUUAAAAGAAUUUUCAUCAAACUCUAAUUACCAGCCCUUUAUUGUUAACACAGUUUUCAAAAUC
ensembl:antisense 4930469G21Rik RIKEN cDNA 4930469G21 gene